GGCGGCGUGCUUAACACAUGCAAGUCGAACGAUGAUCUGGGUGCUUGCACCUGGGGAUUAGUGGCGAACGGGUGAGUAACACGUGAGUAACCUGCCCUGGACUCUGGGAUAACCCCGAGAAAUCGGAGCUAAUACCGGAUAGGACCUUGGACCGCAUGGUUUGGGGUGGAAAGUUUUUUCGGUUUGGGAUGGACUCGCGGCCUAUCAGCUUGUUGGUGAGGUAAUGGCUCACCAAGGCGUCGACGGGUAGCCGGCCUGAGAGGGUGACCGGCCACACUGGGACUGAGACACGGCCCAGACUCCUACGGGAGGCAGCAGUGGGGAAUAUUGCACAAUGGGCGCAAGCCUGAUGCAGCAACGCCGCGUGGGGGAUGACGGCCUUCGGGUUGUAAACCUCUUUUAGUAAGGAAGAAGGGCCUUCGGGCUUGACGGUACUUGCAGAAAAAGGACCGGCUAACUACGUGCCAGCAGCCGCGGUAAUACGUAGGGUCCGAGCGUUGUCCGGAAUUAUUGGGCGUAAAGAGCUCGUAGGCGGUUUGUCGCGUCUGCUGUGAAAUCCCGAGGCUCAACCUCGGGUCUGCAGUGGGUACGGGCAGACUGGAGUGCGGUAGGGGAGAAUGGAAUUCCUGGUGUAGCGGUGGAAUGCGCAGAUAUCAGGAGGAACACCGAUGGCGAAGGCAGUUCUCUGGGCCGUAAC
rnacentral:rRNA from 1 species